rnacentral:lncRNA from 1 species
UGUUAGAGAUGAGUAGUAGCGUCAUAUGAAACACUACGGCUCCGUUUAGAUCGGAAAUUAUUAGGAACUAGUUAUACCGGGGAUAGGUACAAGUAUGAAUUUUUGUAGGAACAAGGGUAUUUUUUUAUUUGGAUGAAAUUGUGAGUAUAAGCUGUAACUAGAAAUAUUGUGUUUGGAUGAUUUUUGGGAAUAAGAGAAAUAGUUGGUAGUUAUAAAUAGAAAAUAAUAAUAUUAUCCCUAUAAUUGAAUUUUAAACUUAUAAUUUUAAAUUUAAAAUUUUAACUUUUAAAUUUAAAUUAGAAAUUAAAAUUUUAAAUUUUAAUAUUAAAAUUUUAAUUUUAAAUAUCAACUUUUAAAUUUCAGACCAAAUUUAAAUUUCAAAAAUAUAAAAUAACAAAUUUAAAAUUUGAAAACUAAAAAUAUCAAAUUUAAAAUUUAAAAAUUAAAAAUAUCAAAUUUAAAAUUUAAACUUUAAUAAAAUUUAAAAUUUGAAAACUUAAAAUAUCAAAUUUAAAAUUUAAAAUUUAAAAAUAUCAAAUUUAAAAUUUAAACUUUAUAAAAUUUAAAAUUUUAAUUUAUUUAUUAUAAUUACAAAAUUAUAAAAUUUAAAAAUUUAUAUUUAAAUUUAAAAUAAAUAUCUCUCUCUUUCUCUCUCGCUCUCUCUCUACUCAA